rnacentral:rRNA from 1 species
GACGAACGCUGGCGGCGUGCCUAAUACAUGCAAGUAGGACGCAGUUGCGAACGGGUGAGUAACGCGUAGGUAACUACCUAUUAGAGGGGGAUAACUAUUGGAAACGAUAGCUAAUACCGCAUACUAGUAGAUGGACCUGCGUUGUAUUAGCUAGUAGGUAGGGUAAAGGCCUACCUAGGCAACGAUACAUAGCCGACCGGGUAGGGUGGUCGGCCACACCGGGAUUGGGACACGGCCCAGACUCAUACGGGAGGCAGCAGUAGGGAAUCUUCGGAAAUGUGGGGAACCCUUACCGAGCAACGCCGCGGGAGUGAGGAGGGUUUUCGGAUCGUAAAGCUCUGUUGUUAAGGAAGCGGUACUUAACCAGAAAGGGACGGCUAACUACGUGCCAGCAGCCGCGGUAAUUC